rnacentral:rRNA from 1 species
UACCAGCACCCCGAGUGGUCGGGACGAUUAUUGGGCCUAAAGGCAUCCGUAGCCGGUCCUACAAGUCUUCCGUUAAAUCCACCUGCUCAACAGAUGGGCUGCGGAAGAAUACUAUAGGGCUAGGAGGCGGGAGAGGCAAGCGGUACUCAGUGGGUAGGGGUAAAAUCCUCUGAUCCAUUGAAGACCACCAGUGGCGAAGGCGGCUUGCCAGAACGCGCUCGACGGUGAGGGAUGAAAGCUGGGGGAGCAAACCGG